UUAUUAUAGCUGACAAAGAAGGAAGUCAUUUUAUAGAUAGGUUGGCCUACAAAGAUGUUCUAAGAAUCAAGAGACAACCAGAGUAGUCAUCAAAGUGUCCAGUAUGGUAGCCAAUCCUUCAGGCAGCUGAGAGCCUGGGAGUCACUGCAAACUGGCUUGGAGCUAAUGAGUCACAUGGGAUUUAAAUCAGAGUGGGGCAGGAGUGAGGCAAGCAGAUGAUUUAGGGUGAGAAGAAAUAAAGUGUCCACUGAAUAAGUAAUGAAAAAAAUCUCUAGAAAUCCUCUAGCUUGUGGGAAUUAACAAAGGAAUACCUCUGGGUUGGCCAAAGACCCAGCUGACUGAAAAUAGUGUGAUCAAAAGCCAACUUACCUAGGAAGUAGACAUGCAGGGAUUUCUAAUUUCCUGGAGUAGUAUGGGAAAGUAGAGUAACUAACUCCCAAAAUUUUUUACAAACUCAGAAAGGAGUGAAGAGAAGUUGGCUUUGGAGAACUCCUGGAUGAACAUCUUGCUUACAGAAAGUUCACAUGGAGAAUCAAUGGCAGGAAAGGUAAUUGCUACAUGCGGUGUGCUACAUGUGGUGUGCUCAUUUCAGACAAUGAGCACACAGCAACAUCCAGGAUGUUCUCUUGCCUUAGAAGGAAUCACAACAAACUGUAAAAUACCAGGAAUGGGGAGAUUCAUCCAGUGGAGAUAUGUUGGGGCAGUCACUGAAGGAGUGAAAAUAGCUGCCUGGCUUGAGAAAGCCAGCUAUUUGAAGCCAUUCUCAUCUAAAAGUAUAGAUUAGCAAGUUCAAAGUUAUAAUCUCCACUCCAUCUCCUACAGUCAUUGUGAGUUAUUGUUUUUCUUCAACACUCAAGUCAAUUCAACCAACAUUUUGCUGACACUGUAUUGGGAAGUGUGGAAGAUAAAAAAUAUGUAUUACCAAAACCUGGACACUAACACAGGGACACUCAUCUCUAAGUGGAUUAAUGUAAAUGGCCCUUGCAACAAAUUGGCCCUGAACUCCUUGACCUUCAGCUUUAAUGUCCUUCUUCAGUCUUUUUCAACUACACACAACCAUAGCCACUUCUUUGGUAUUAUCCUCCCUUGUACUCCUCCAUCAUCAAGAUCUCAAACUCUGAAAUUCUUUUAGACUACAAACUAUUAUUCUUCUGUCUUGUUGGUACCUAGCAAUUUUUUCUCUUUGCCCUCGUCGUGAACUCCAGACCCCUUGAAUGCUUCUAUCCAAGCUGUGUCUUGGUUUCACUUGCCCCCUUCCUAGCCUUGACACCGUAGACAUGCAAAGCGACCAAAGACCACUAGGUGGCAGUAGAGCCCCAACUAGACUAUCGCCCAGCUUGGGCACCAAGUCAGAUAAUUAAUAUUUAUAAUGAAAGCCUCAAGUUUGAAGGGGUAAGACAAUAGUGGAAUUAAACAAACAAUAGCGAGUAAUACAGGGAGGUCAGUGAGCUGGGGCCAAGAAGAUCUUAAGCCCCAUGCAAGUGUAAACCAGACAAAUGGUGAGACCUCAGCCACUGGGGAGAUGACAGGGUACUCUCAGGUUCAUUGUCUAUAAUCAUCUCCUAUCUGUCUACAUGGGUAGCCUUUCCCCUGCUUUGAAGCAUUUCCUGCUAAACAACCCUUAAGGAUUUUCUAUUUAAAGAUCAGUUAAUGUCACUAGGCCUCCUGGAAUUCUUUGUACUUAGGCAAUUCCCAGCACUAGAAUCAACCUUCUUAUUUCUCUUUCUCUGGGCAGCCAGGUGCUUGGCAGAAAAUUACAAAAGUCUGCACAGUGACUUAAUUCUAAAUGCGUGAUAUGUAACCUCAGCGGUGACUUCAAUGCUCAAGUUUCAUUCUUCAUUAACUCCCUAGGGGAUUCCUUGUGGAAGCAUUCUAAGCCUUCCCCACUCCCUGAAAUCCCUUACCACAUUUCAGCUUCCCCAACCGCAGCAGUUGAGCUCACAUCCUCCUUUAUCUAGGAGACUGAGAUCAUCCAUCCUGUCCUCUCUGAAGCCCCUCUCUACUGUAGACUGAGCACAGGAGCUACAGAGUCUUUCAGGGUAAGUGUACAGAGUUGGAUGGAGAAGACAGAAAUUCCACCCUCUUCAACAGAAAGUAAUGAAAAUGGGUAUCCUGUAUCUCAUCUCUGAAUCAACUUACUCCCCCAAAAGAUGUUGCAAACAUUACUAACUGGAGCGUUUUCUAAAUCAUAGGAAGGACCCUGAGGUGGCACCUUUUACAAAUUUUAUCUGGAAAGGCAAUGCUUUUAAACUAUCCUCCAGCAAAAUAUGCUCCUGUCAUUAAAUUUCAACUGACUUUAUCCUAUCCCGAUGACAUGUGGUUUGUGUAUUCAGUCCUUCAUUUGAUAAAUACUUACUUUAGAGCCAAGCCUCAUAGCCACUAUGCAUACUGCCAAAUACAGAGAUGAUGGAAGACUUGUAUGCCAGAUAAUGAAUAUUGAAAGGGACGAAUCAUUCAUCCAGAAUUCAUGAGAAUCUCCCUCCACAACUAUCAAAAGAAGAUCCACCCACUGGGUUGCAGGCAUAUGGCAAUGUGCUCUGUCCUUAUGAUGGAAAAAAUUUCAGGAAAAAUUGCAGAAAUCAUACAAAGAACUUUUUUUUCCUUAGUAAUUUGAGAGUAUUUUACCAACAUGAUACCCCAUCACCCUUAAAUACAUUAGUGUGCAAUUCUUACAAAGACUUACACCUCUUACUACAUUUAAACCGUUGAAAUGAGGAAAUUAAUUCUAAUACAUUACUAUCAUUUUGUUUCAGACAUCAUUAAAGUUUUUUCAGUUGCCCCAGUAAUAUCCAUUUUAGCCAAAUGAUCCAUUUUAAAAUUAUAUAUUUCAUUUAUCAUGUCUUUUUAAUAUUACUUGAUUUGGAACCAUUUCUCAGUUUUUCUGAUUUCAUAAUUUUGACUGUUUGAAACACUACAGACCACUAAUCUUGUGGGAUUUAUCUCAUUGUGGGUUUGUCUUAUGUUUCCUAGUGUUUAGAUUCAAAUUAUGCAUCUUUAGCAGGGAUAUUGCAGAUUUGAAGCUGGAUUCUUCACACUGCAUGCUAUCAAGUGGUACACGAUUUCAAUUUGUCCUAUUGCUAGUAAUAUUAAAUUGAUCACUUGAUUAAGAUUGUGUGGUAGGCAGAAUUUUAAGACGUCCCUGUGACCUUGGCUCAUGGUAUUACUCCCAUGAUGGCGUUAUAUGGCAAAUGGCUAAUUACCAAGGUAGGCCUAAUCUAAAUAAAUCAGGCCUUUAAAAGGAGAGAGCUUUUGAGAGCUGACAGCAGCAAAGAAGUCAAAAGUAUUCAAGAUGUGGCAGAGAUUCACCUCCAGAGAAGCUCUACCUUGUUGAGAUGGGGAAGACCCACAGCACAGAACUGUGAUUAGCCUCCAGGAAAGGAACACAACCAUCAUCUGUCAGCCAGCAAGGAAACAGAGACCUUGGUCUAACUGCAGCAAGAAACUUCAUUCUGGGAGAAGGAUUAUUCCCCAAAACCUCCAGAGAAGAGCCCAGCCUGGCCAACACUUUGAUUGCAGCCUUGGGAGACCCUAGGCAAAGAACUCAGGGGUACAGCCUGGACUUCUAACUUACAGAACUAUAAGACCAUAAAUGGGCUGUUUCAAGCUGUUAUGUUUGUGGUAAUUUGUCAUGCAGCAAUAGAAAACGAAUACAAGUGGUAUCUGCCAGUC